rnacentral:rRNA from 1 species
GGUCAAGUUGUUAAGGGCACAUGGUGGAUGUCUUGGCUUCAGGAGCCGAUGAAGGACGUAGGAGGCUGCGAUAAGCCUCGGGGAGCUGUCAACCGAGCUGUGAUCCGAGGAUUUCCGAAUGGGGAAACCCAGCACCAGUGAUGUGGUGUUACCCGCCGGUGAAUAUAUAGCCGGUGUGGAGGGAACGCGGGGAAGUGAAACAUCUCAGUACCCGUAGGAAGAGAAAACAACCGUGAUUCCGUGAGUAGUGGCGAGCGAAAGCGGAAGAGGCUAAACCGUGUACAUGUCAAGCUGUCAGGCGUUGUGUGUGCGGUGUUGUGGGACCCAGCGUCGAGGAUCUGACAGUCCUCGGAAUGAUCAUGCAUGUUAGUGGAACCGUUUGGGAUGGCGGGCCGGAGUGGGUGAGAGCCCCGUACGCGAAAACAUGUGGUGGUUGUUUGUGUGGUGUUCCCGAGUAGCAGCGAGCUCGUGGAAUUUGCUGUGAAUCUGCCGGGACCACCCGGUAAGCCUAAAUACUUCCUGAAGACCGAUAGCGGACUAGUACCGUGAGGGAAAGAUGAAAAGUACCCCGGGAGGGGAGUGAAAGAGUACCUGAAACCGUGUGCCUACAAGCCGUCAGAGCCCGAGCACGUUGUGAGACGUUACGGUGAUGGCGUGCCUUUUGAAGAAUGAGCCUGCGAGUUAGUGCUGCGUGGCGAGGUUAACCCGUGUGGGGUAGCCGUAGCGAAAGCGAGUCUGAACAGGGCGAACAUAGUCGCGUGGUCUAGACCCGAAGCGGAGUGAUCUACCCAUGGCCAGGGUGAAGCGACGGUAAGACGUCGUGGAGGCCCGAACCCACUUAGGUUGAAAACUGAGGGGAUGAGCUGUGGGUAGGGGUGAAAGGCCAAUCAAACUCCGUGAUAGCUGGUUCUCCCCGAAAUGCAUUUAGGUGCAGCGUCACAUGUUUCACUACGGGGGUAGAGCUACUGGAUGGUCUAGGGGCCUUACCGGGUUACCGAAAUCAACCAAACUCCGAAUACCGUGGUGUGAGAGUGUGGCAGUGAGACGGCGGGGGAUAAGCUUCGUCGUCGAGAGGGAAACAGCCCAGAACACCAGCUAAGGCCCCUAAGUGUGUGCUCAGUGGGAAAGGAUGUGGGAUUGCCCCCAACCAGGAGGUUGGCUUAGAAGCAGCCACCCUUGAAAGAGUGCGUAAUAG